AUUGAUAUCAGUUUAUAUAUCAUUUUCAAUAAAUAACAGGCAUAUAUAUCAGUAAAAAUGGGAGAACAAUAAGAAUGGCAGUACUACCACAGAAUACUUUAAAACUGCAAUCUUACUAUCCUUGGAUUGACUAACAACAAUUAAGUACCUUUAUGUCUUUUUCUAAAUGUACAUAGUUUAAAACAAAUUCAUUGCCCAAUUAUUCAUCUUCUGUUGAGUAUAAAAUGUUUUUGUUUGUUUGUUUGCUUGUUUGUUUGUUUUCGAGAAAGGGUUUCUCUGUGUAGUCCUGGCUGUUCUGGAACUCACUCUGUAGACCAGGCUGGCCUCGAACUCAGAAAAUCACCUACCUCUGCCUCCCAAGUGCUGGGAUUAAAGGUGUGUACUUCCACCGCCCGGCUAUGUUGGCUAUGUUUAUUAUUUCUUAAAAGAACAUAAACAAAAACCUAAACAAAAUUAACUACAUGAUGAAAAUAUCCAAAUAACAAAGAAUGUGUGCAUAUUUAUACUGUUUUUUAGAAACGUUAAUAAUGUAGUCUUUGAAGUCUACUGCUUACACACACUACUGUAUUGAGUACCAAAAAUGUUCAAUGAUUUUUCUUAUAGUUUAUUCCACAUAGUGUAUAUUAAACAAAAGAAAAUUGAAUAGCUUGCUUUUACAUUCAUGUUCCAAAGCUAUACAUUUAAUAAAUUUUAAUUUGCUUAAUUUUUAUUAUCAUUCAUUCAUUUAUAUUUCAAGUGACAUUCCCAUUUCUUGGUUUCCCCUCUACAAAUCCCCCAUUUCCCUUUCCUGUUAUGAGGGUGCUCCUCUACCCACUCACCCAUUCCUUCCUCUCUGCUUUAGCAUCUACCUCUGCUGGGCCAUCAAGCCUUCACAGGACCAAGAGCCUCCCCUCCCAUUGAUGCCAGAUAAGGCAGUCCUCUAUUACUUAUGUAGCAGGAGCCAUGGAUCUCUCCAUGUAUACUUUUUGGUUGGUGGUUUUGUCUUUGAGAGCUCUGGGUGAUCCAGUGAGUUUAUAUUGUUCUUCCUCUGGGUUACAACCCCCAUCAGCUCCUUCAGUCCUUGCCCUAGCUCUUCCUUUGGGGUCCCCAAACUCAGUCUGAUGGUUGCCUGUGAGUAUCUGCAUCUCUAUUAGUCAGGUGCUGGGAGAACCUCUUAGGGGACAGCCAUACCAGACUCCUGUCAGUAAGAGCUUCUUGGCAUCAGCAAUAGUAUCUGGGUUUGGGGUCUGCAGAUGGGAUGGAUCCUUAGACAGGGUCAAUAUCUAGAUGGCCUUUCCUUCAGUCUUUGUUCCACUUUAUGCCCCUGUAUUUCCUUUGGACAGGAACAAUUCUGGGGCAAAAAUGUUGAGAUGGGUGGGUGGUUCCAUCCCCAACUUGGGGUUGUACCUCUCUCUUCUGGAGGUGGUCUCUACAGGUUCUAUCUCCCGCUUUGUUGGGUAUUUCAGUUAAUGUCAUCCCUGUUGGGUCCUGUGAGCCUCUCACUUCAAUGGUGUCCAGGAUUGUCUAAUGUCUACCCACCCCCCACUGCUACAUAUUUCUAAUCAAUUUCAUUUCUUUCUAGUCCCUUCUCACACCAGACACCCCCUUUCUCCCCUCCUCUUCCUCUCUCCCUACAAAGUUCCCUCCUUCCCUCUAAUUCCUGUGAUUACUUUCUUCUCCCUUAUAUGUAUGAUUGAAACAUCCACCCUUUGGUCUUCCUACUUCUUAAACUUCAUCUGGUUUAUGGGUUAUAUUGUGAGUAUUCUGAGCUUUUGGGCUACUAUCUACUUAACACUGAGUGCAUACCAUGUGUGUUCUUUUGUGUCUCGGUUACCUCACUCAGGAUUAUAUUUUCUAGUUCCAUCCAUUUGCCUGCAAAUUUCAAGUAGUCAUUGUUUUUAAUAGCUGAGUAGUAUUCCAUUGUAUAUAUUUACAAAAUUUUAUCUAUCAAUUCUUCUGUUAAGAGACAUCUGGGUUGUUUCCAGCUUCUGGUAUUAUAAAUAAGGCUGCUUUAAACAUGAUGGAGCAUGUGUCCUUGUUAUAUGUUGGAGCAUCUUUUGGGUAUAUGCCCAGUCAGUAAUGGUAUAGUAGGUCUUCAGGUAAAACCAUCUCCAUUUUUCUGAGAAAUUGCUGGAUUGUUUUCAAAGUGGUUUUACUAGUUUGCAAUCCCACCAACAAUGGAGGAGUGUUCCUGUUUUUCCACAUCUUAUCCAGCAUCUGCUGUCACCUUAGUUUUUGAUAUUAGCCAUUUUGAUUGGUGUGACAUGAAAUCUCAAGGACAUUUUGAUUUGCAUUUCCCUGGUGACUAUGGAUGUUGAACAUUUCUCUAGUUGUUCUUGGCUAUUGGAGAUUCCUUAGUUGAGAAAUCUUUGUUUAGCACUAUAAAUAGGGUUAAUAAUAGAGUUAUUUGGUUCUCUAGAGUCUAAGUUCUUGAGUUCUUUGUAUACUUUGGAUAUUAGACUUCUAUUGGAUAUAGGAUUGGUAAAGAUCGUUUCCCAGUCUGUAGAUAUCUGUUUUUUUCCUAUUGGUAGUGUCUUUUGCCUUAUAGAAGCUUUUCAGUUUUUUUGAGUUCCCAUUUAUCAACUGUUGUCAAUUGGUGUUAUGUUUAGAAAAAUUUCCCUUAUCCUAAUGUGUUCAAGGUUCUUUCCCAUGUUUUCUUCAUUAGAUUCAGUGUUUUAUGUGAAAGUCCUUGAUCCACCUGAAUGUGAGCUUUGUACAAGGAGAUAAGAAUGGAUCAAUUUGCAUUCUUCUACAUGCUGGCCUCCACUUGAAACAACACCAUUUGUUGAAAAUGCUAUCCUUUUUCCACUGGAUGGUUUUGGCUACUUUGUCAGAGAUCAAGUGACCAUAAGUGUGUGUGCUUAAUUCUGGGUCUUCAAUUCUAUUCCAUUGAUCUUCCUUCCUGUCUCUGUACCAAUACGUACAGUUUUUUUUAUUUAUUUGUUUGUUUGUUUGUUUUUGUUUUUUUUAUCACUAGUGCUCUGUAGUAUAGCCUGAGGUCAAGGGUGGUGAUUUCCACCAGAAGAUGUUUUAUUGUUGAGAAUUGUUUUUACUAUUCUGGGUUUUUUGUUAUUCCACAUAAAUUUGAGAUUUGCUCUUUCUAUCUCUGUGAAGAAUUGAUGGGGGAUUAUAUUGAAUCUGUAGAUUGCUUUUGGUAAAAUGACCCUUUUUUACUAUGUUAAUCAUGCCAAUCUAAUUUUCUUCAUUUUUAUGCCUAUAGUAUGUACAUAGUUAUAUCCUUUAUAAUGUAUCAGGACAUG
rnacentral:lncRNA from 1 species